GAUACUCGUGGCGGCGGGUGGGCCCCCGAGCCGAGCCCGGCGGAGGAGGACGGUGCGAAGGGCAGCGGGAGCGAUCCGCUGCAGGCUUGAGGGACCGCGCGGGGCCCGGCCGUUUCCCUGCUGGUGAAAGCCGAGACAAAAGGUCCUGGAAGAGUUUUCUGCUCUAAUGUACCCUGCUUUUUUUCAACUGUGUUAGUUGCUCUGGUAAAUACCACCUUUCAUAGAGAUCUCACCUAAGCCUUGUAUGUAUGUCAGCAGUUUCAGGACUGGUUCAGCCCGGUUCUGUGACUAAUGGGCUGGUGGAACCCAUGGACCCACACCCCAGGAGAAGGGUAGCGAGAUGGGCCUAAAAACAAAACGGUGGCAACGAUCUGAGGAGGAAAGCUAACUUACUAAAAAAAGAGAUAUUGGAAUGCCAGAUAAUACAAUAUGAUACAGUGUAAUUGGAGUUGAAGCUAAUAAAUCAAAUAAAAAGAGAAAAAGAGAGUAUCCAAAAACCAAAGGCUUUUCUCUAAUACUGGAGGCAAGAUGUCUCCAGUGGCAAAUAGAAAGACAAAAGAGGGACAUGUCAUGGUCUGCAAACAGUUACAUCUCUCCCACUGAAUGGAAAAUGGAAACAGAACAACACAUCCUUCUGGGGGUUUUAAUUGCUUGAAAGCAGUUGGUGCUGAUUUCCUUAUCUGCUCUACAGGAAAAAAUGGUCUUCUCAAAAAGAUCAAAAGGAUUUAAGAUUUGGAGUCACUGUGGAAAUUAUUCAAAAAUUGCCAUGAAGGAGCCUGAUAGUGUAGCAGAUCCCUCUUCAGGAUAUGUGACAUGGCUGUACUGUGCAGGAAAAGCAAUCCUGAAGAAAAGAACAGCGAGGCAGAAAUGAGAUGAAAAGACGUCUGUCAAUGCUGCCUUCUUAUCUAUGAUCUGUGUGAGGGAGUAGAGAGCAAAAAACUGAAGUUUCAGUGUGCUGCAUAACCUGCAUUCAGCUUCUCCAGUCUAGCAGAAACUCCGAUACAGCUGUAAGUAUGAUUUAUUUUUACUCCUGGCACACAUAUAAUACACACACACAAACUAACAAACAAAACACUUAAGAAUGGUUGUGCUCUCAAUUUGCAAUUGCUGUUGCUUUUGUGUUGUACUAAUUUUCCUUCUUGGUUAAAUCUUAACUGAAACAAAAAUGUAUUAUUGUGAUUUUGGUGUUUCAUUAGAGGCUCAUAGAGUUACUAAUGCUUCAUCAACCCACCAAACUCAUUGUGGUUGCAAAGUUGAGCUUCAACACUGAUAGAAAUCAUAUAUUCUGUAGUUUUCAGUGCUUUUAAAUUAAAAGAACUUUUGUUACAAGCA